rnacentral:rRNA from 1 species
AGAAUCAACGCUGGCGGCGUGCCUAACACAUGCAAGUCGCACGAGAAAGGGGAGCAAUCCCUGAGUAAAGUGGCGCACGGGUGAGUAACACGUGAAUAAUCUACCUCCGAGUGGGGAAUAACUGAGAGAAAUCUUAGCUAAUACCGCAUAACACUUACGAGUCAAAGCAGCAAUGCGCUUGGAGAGGAGUUCGCGGCCGAUUAGUUAGUUGGCGGGGUAAUGGCCCACCAAGACGAUGAUCGGUAUCCGGCCUGAGAGGGCGCACGGACACACUGGAACUGAAACACGGUCCAGACUCCUACGGGAGGCAGCAGUGGGGAAUUUUGCGCAAUGGGGGAAACCCUGACGCAGCAACGCCGCGUGGAGGAUGAAGCCCCUUGGGUGUAAACUCCUUUCGAUCGGGAAGAUAAUGACGGUACCGAUAUAAGAAGCCCCGGCUAACUUCGCGCCAGCAGCCGC